rnacentral:rRNA from 1 species
UACGAAGGGGGCUAGCGUUGCUCGGAAUCACUGGGCGUAAAGCGCACGUAGGCGGAUUGUUAAGUCGGGGGUGAAAUCCUGGAGCUCAACUCCAGAACUGCCUUCGAUACUGGCGAUCUUGAGUCCGGGAGAGGUGAGUGGAACUCCGAGUGUAGAGGUGAAAUUCGUAGAUAUUCGGAAGAACACCAGUGGCGAAGGCGGCUCACUGGCCCGGUACUGACGCUGAGGUGCGAAAGCGUGGGGAGCAAACAGGG